rnacentral:rRNA from 1 species
AUUGAACGCUGGCGGCAUGCCUUACACAUGCAAGUCGAACGGCAGCACGGGAGCAAUCCUGGUGGCGAGUGGCGAACGGGUGAGUAAUAUAUCGGAACGUGCCCAGUCGUGGGGGAUAACGCAGCGAAAGCUGUGCUAAUACCGCAUACGAUCUAUGGAUGAAAGCGGGGGAUCGCAAGACCUCGCGCGAUUGGAGCGGCCGAUAUCAGAUUAGCUAGUUGGUGGGGUAAAAGCCCACCAAGGCGACGAUCUGUAGCUGGUCUGAGAGGACGACCAGCCACACUGGAACUGAGACACGGUCCAGACUCCUACGGGAGGCAGCAGUGGGGAAUUUUGGACAAUGGGCGAAAGCCUGAUCCAGCAAUGCCGCGUGCAGGACGAAGGCCUUCGGGUUGUAAACUGCUUUU